rnacentral:lncRNA from 1 species
UUGGGGAAACCAAGUUGCAUCAAGUUCAAGGAACAGGUCUCCACUUGCACGGUGUCUGUAGCAGAACCAGGACCAGAAUUUUUGAUCUUUGACUGUUGCUCUAGAUGCUCAACUACUUUGUACUCUGUGCUUUGUUUGGGUGGAAGGAGACUUGCCUGAAACCUGGCACGGAUCUCUACUGAUUAGAAGCUGCUACUCUGACAGUUAUUUAAUGUUUCAGAAGCAAGGAGCUGGUGGGAAAAACUCUGCCAUUUGGUACAGAAGAAGGUUUGUUCCUCCAUUAGUUAAGGAUUUUGUGGCACCUGGCUUGGAUUCAGCCAACCGGACAAAGAGGAAACAGACCUCACAUCUUGACCUUUCUCCUGCACCCAGGCAAUGCUUCAGAUGGAGGACGAUGUGGAUGGCACUGGAUUUCGUGGCAGAAGGAAAGAGUGCAGGAGACUACUCCCCAGUUCACUUGAUUUUUACCUGAUGAUUUACAAGCUGUGAAGCAUGAUUUGAAAUUUGACAUGGAUCUGCAGUCACACAAAGGAAGCAAGACCAAGCUUUCAAUUCUUACGGUCAGUGGGAGGGAAUCAAAUACCCUGGUCUUGCAGCGAAAGAGAGCUGCUAGGUUGCAGGUUGAAAACUAUAGGUUGAAGGUUUUAAACUCAUUUUGACUAAUAUGCUCCUGUCUUUGCUGAAAAUGUGGAAUAGAUUUCAAAACAUUAUGAGGAAGAAAUGUUUGUCUCUUCAUGCAAGCAGGACACUGACUGUCCUCUGAACAUCAAAAACUCUCUAUAUAUGAUGCUUCAACAAAUCCAAAAUAUUAGAAGACAAUUUUUUUCUUCUGAACCCAUAUUACAUUCCUAAGUAUGUGACCAGACUUUAAAGGUACUUAGAUAUUUUAAUUAUUUAUCUGAUAAAAAAUAAAAAAAUAAAAAAAGCAAAAACUCUGGAUGGC